UAGCCGUAGGUGAACCUGCGGCUGGAUCAUUAUCGAGCUAUACUUUUGUACUCUGGCUUCGAACCAGAGGGGGCAGGAUUCAGGAGCGGUGCAUCCUGUGAUGCGCUGUAAGCUCGCCCACAACGGGAUUGGCCGGUCUCUAUGGCUUUCCAGAGUGGUUGUUGCUAUCUUCCCGUGACCACGUUGAUGGAUUGUCAAAGCGCCUUCGAGGCGAAGAGUCAAAGACUACACUGGGCACGUAGCGCCGGCAACCAAAACCCAACGAGGAAUUUUCCUUGUCCACUCCGGUGGAAAACGUAAACGAUAUCAGCCUUACCGGUGGAUCACUCGGUUCGU
rnacentral:misc_RNA from 1 species